UGGGGAAUUUUGGACAAUGGGCGAAAGCCUGAUCCAGCAAUGCCGCGUGUGUGAAGAAGGCCUUCGGGUUGUAAAGCACUUUUGUCCGGAAAGAAAUCCUUGGCUCUAAUACAGUCGGGGGAUGACGGUACCGGAAGAAUAAGCACCGGCUAACUACGUGCCAGCAGCCGCGGUAAUACGUAGGGUGCAAGCGUUAAUCGGAAUUACUGGGCGUAAAGCGUGCGCAGGCGGUUUGCUAAGACCGAUGUGAAAUCCCCGGGCUCAACCUGGGAACUGCAUUGGUGACUGGCAGGCUAGAGUAUGGCAGAGGGGGGUAGAAUUCCACGUGUAGCAGUGAAAUGCGUAGAGAUGUGGAGGAAUACCGAUGGCGAAGGCAGCCCCCUGGGCCAAUACUGACGCUCAUGCACGAAAGCGUGGGGAGCAAACAGGGUUAGAUACCCUGGUAGUCCACGCCCUAAACGAUGUCAACUAGUUGUUGGGGACUUCAUUUUCCUUAGUAACGUAGCUAACGCGUGAAGUUGACCGCCUGGGGAGUACGGUCGCAAGAUUAAAACUCAAAUGAAUUGACGGGGUCAUAGCUGUUUCCU
rnacentral:rRNA from 1 species